rnacentral:rRNA from 1 species
CCUACGGGUGGCAGCAGUAGGGAAUAUUGCUCAAUGGGGGAAACCCUGAAGCAGCAACGCCGCGUGGAUGAUGAAGGUUUUCGGAUCGUAAACUCCUUUUGUUAGAGAAGAUAAUGACGGUAUCUAACGAAUAAGCACCGGCUAACUCCGUGCCAGCAGCCGCGGUAAUACGGAGGGGGCAAGCGUUACUCGGAAUAACUGGGCGGAAAGAGCACGUAGGCGGGAUAGCAAGUCUGAUGUGAAAUCCUAUGGCUUAACCAGAGAAGUGCAUUGGAAACUGUUAGACUUGAGUACGGGAGAGGUGGGUGGAACUCUAGGUGUAGGGGUAAAAUGCGUAGAGAUAAGGAAGAAUACUCGUGGCGAAGGCGACCUGCUAGAACGUAACUGACGCUGAGGCGCGAAAGCGUGGGUAGCAAACAGGAUUAGAUACCCCUGUAGUC